AUCUUAUCAAGAGCAGGUGGAGGGACUAGCCCGAUGAAACCCGGCAACCGGCGGUAUUUACGCACGGUGCUAAUUCUUGCAGGAGCAUGGCAGCGGCCUUUGGGCGUUGUCUCCUGACAGAUGAGAG
rnacentral:ncRNA from 1 species